CAGUCGAACGAAGUAGCAAUACUUAGUGGCAGACGGGUGAGUAACAUGUAGGUAUCUGCCCUUUGGCCUGGAAUAACACGAGGAAACUUGUGCUAAUACCGGAUAAGUCUUUACGGAGAAAGCUUUAUGCACCAUUGGAUGAGCCUGCACUUGAUUAGUUUGUUGGUGGGGUAAUGGCCUACCAAGACUGUGAUCAAUAGCUGAUUUGAGAGGAUGAUCAGCCACAUUGGGACUGAGACACGGCCCAAACUCCUACGGGAGGCAGCAGUGGGGAAUCUUGCACAAUGGAGGAAACUCUGAUGCAGCGAUGCCGCGUGAGUGAAGAAGGCCCUUGGGUUGUAAAGCUCUUUCGUCGGGGAAGAAAAUGACUGUACCCGAAUAAGAAGGUCCGGCUAACUUCGUGCCAGCAGCCGCGGUAAUACGAAGGGACCUAGCGUAGUUCGGAAUUACUGGGCUUAAAGAGUUCGUAGGUGGUUGAAAAAGUUAGUGGUGAAAUCCCAGAGCUUAACUCUGGAACUGCCAUUAAAACUUUUCAGCUAGAGUAUGAUAGAGGAAAGCAGAAUUUCUAGUGUAGAGGUGAAAUUCGUAGAUAUUAGAAAGAAUACCAAUUGCGAAGGCAGCUUUCUGGAUCAUUACUGACACUGAGGAACGAAAGCAUGGGUAGCGAAGAGGAUUAGAUACCCUCGUAGUCCAUGCCGUAAACGAUGUGUGUUAGACGUUGGAAAUUUAUUUUCAGUGUCGCAGGGGAAACCGAUAAACACACCGCCNGGGGAGUACGACCGCAAGGUUAAAACUCAAAUGAAUUGACGGGGACCCGCACAAGUAGUGGAGCAUGUGGUUUAAUUCGAAGAUACGCGCAGAACCUUACCAACACUUGACAUGUUCGUCGCG
rnacentral:rRNA from 1 species